rnacentral:rRNA from 1 species
UACGUAGGGUGCAAGCGUUAAUCGGAAUUACUGGGCGUAAAGAGCUCGUAGGUGGUUUGUCGCGUUGUUCGUGAAAACUCACAGCUUAACUGUGGGCGUGCGGGCGAUACGGGCAGACUUGAGUACUGCAGGGGAGACUGGAAUUCCUGGUGUAGCGGUGGAAUGCGCAGAUAUCAGGAGGAACACCGGUGGCGAAGGCGGUUCUCUGGGCAUUACCUGACGCUGAGGAGCGAAAGUGUGGGGAGCGAACAGG